AGAGUUUGAUCCUGGCUCAGGACGAACGCUGGCGGCGUGCCUAACACAUGCAAGUCGAACGGGGUAAUUACUUCGGUGAUUACUUAGUGGCGAACGGGUGAGUAACGCGUGAGAAACCUGCCUUUCAGUGGGGGACAACAGUUGGAAACGACUGCUAAUACCGCAUAAUGUUAUUUGGGGGCAUCCUUGAAUAACCAAAGCUUUAUGUGCUGAAAGAUGGUCUCGCGUCUGAUUAGCUAGAUGGCGGGGUAACGGCCCACCAUGGCGACGAUCAGUAGCCGGUCUGAGAGGAUGAACGGCCACAUUGGGACUGAGAUACGGCCCAGACUCCUACGGGAGGCAGCAGUGGGGAAUAUUGGGCAAUGGGGGAAACCCUGACCCAGCAACGCCGCGUGAAGGAAGAAGGCCUUCGGGUUGUAAACUUCUUUUACCAGGGACGAAUAAAAUGACGGUUACCUGGAGAAAAAGCAACGGCUAACUACGUGCCAGCAGCCGCGGU
rnacentral:rRNA from 1 species